CAGUUCUAGAGGCCUGAAGUUCAAAAUCAAGGUGUCGACAGAGCUGUGUUCCCUUUGAUGGUGCUGGAGGAUCUUUCGUUGCGCCUUCCAGCUUCUGGUGGCUUCAGACGUUCCCUGGUGGCACUGAUUUUUACGAUUCAGGCAUCUCCGUGUUUCAUUACCCACUGCCAUGUCACAUUGCACCAACGUUAGCGGGAAGGCAGUCCUUCAUGAUGACGGCCAGCAUUCAUGAUGCCACGAGAUGCCAGGCUUGAACUUUUCACCUGAGGAGACGGUGGGAAGCCAUGCUUUCAGGCAAUCACUCACCAUGCCGUGGAUUGAAUCAUGGGGUCUUAGAGCUGGUGGCGAACACUUAUAAUGAAAGCAAUAAUUUUUACUUGCUCUUGAAGACCUCUUUCAAGAUAGUAGAGUACACUCAGCAGGCAAGAAGGCAAUCUCUAUUUUCCCAUGUCCCAUAAACAAGGCAACAAGCUCUGGGUGAGAAGGGUCCAAGGAGCUGUGCCCUCUACAACUAGAUUGAAGA